GCACUAGUAGCUCAAAUUAGAGCACCGGUCUUGUAAACCGGAGGCUGGAGGUUAAAAUCCCCCCUUCUGCU
rnacentral:tRNA from 1 species